GGGCCUAUAACUCAGCUGGUAGAGUGCUUCCAUGGCAUGGAAGAAGUCAGCGGUUCGACUCCGCUUAGGUCCACCA
rnacentral:tRNA from 1 species